rnacentral:rRNA from 1 species
ACUCAAAGGAAUUGACGGGGGCCCGCACAAGCGGUGGAGCAUGUGGUUUAAUUCGAUGCAACGCGAAGAACCUUACCGGGGUUUGACAUCCCCUGCGACCUUUCGAAAGAAGGGGUUCUCUUCGGAGACAGGGAGACAGGUGGUGCAUGGUUGUCGUCAGCUCGUGUCGUGAGAUGUUAGGUUAAGUCCUGCAACGAGCGCAACCCCUAUUUUUAGUUGCUAACACUUCGGGUGAGCACUCUAAAGAGACUGCCGGUGAUAAACCGGAGGAAGGUGGGGAUGACGUCAAAUCAUCAUGCCCUUUAUAUCCCGGGCUACACACGUGCUACAAUGGCUUACACAGAGGGAAGCGACCUGGCGACAGGCAGCGGAUCCCUUAAAAUAAGUCUCAGUUCGGAUUGCAGGCUGCAACUCGCCUGCAUGAAGUCGGAAUCGCUAGUAAUCGCAGGUCAGCAUACUGCGGUGAAUACGUUCCCGGGCCUUGUACACACCGCCCGU